rnacentral:rRNA from 1 species
UGGGGAAUAUUGCACAAUGGGCGCAAGCCUGAUGCAGCAACGCCGCGUGAGGGAUGACGGCCUUCGGGUUGUAAAACCUCUUUUAGUAGGGAAGAAGCGAAAGUGACGGUACCUGCAGAAAAAGCACCGGCUAACUACGUGCCAGCAGCCGCGGUAAUACGUAGGGUGCGAGCGUUGUCCGGAAUUAUUGGGCGUAAAGAGCUCGUAGGCGGUCUGUCGCGUCUGCUGUGAAAACCCGAGGCUCAACCUCGGGCCUGCAGUGGGUACGGGCAGACUAGAGUGCGGUAGGGGAGAAUGGAAUUCCUGGUGUAGCGGUGGAAUGCGCAGAUAUCAGGAGGAACACCGAUGGCGAAGGCAGUUCUCUGGGCCGUAACUGACGCUGAGGAGCGAAAGCGUGGGGAGCGAACAGGAUUAGAUACCCUGGUAGUCCACGCCGUAAACGUUGGGCGCUAGAUGUGGGGACCAUUCCACGGUUUCCGUGUCGCAGCUAACGCAUUAAGCGCCCCGCCUGGGGAGUACGGCCGCAAGGCUAAAACU